rnacentral:lncRNA from 1 species
GAACAUUGUUUUGUUUUGGCAUUAAUGUAUUACAAUGUUCCAUUUUGAUCAAUGAAAUUGAAUUGUUUAUUAUUUAUUGUGUCUACUUAUUGUGUCUAUUUGAUGAUAACAAAAAGGGGGAGAAGCAAGGAAAGAGAAAUAAGUUGACAAACAAGGUUGAACAUUAUAUUAGGAAAGACUGUACAUUUAAGGGGGAGUAAUCUGUAACAAUGAAAAUGUUAAAGUCUAAGAUUUAAAUCGAAUUUCAGAAUUUGGCAUAUAGAAUUUCAGAAUUUGGCAC